rfam:Picea glauca, whole genome shotgun sequence.
UCUCUGCGAUGAAGAAUGUUAGUAAUUUUUACACAUGUUAGACUAUGGAGAUGAAGACCAUCGAUGAGAAAAGCAUUGUUCUGAGCAGAAA